rnacentral:rRNA from 1 species
CAUGGCUCAGGAUGAACGCUGGCGGCGUGCCUAAUACAUGCAAGUCGAACGCACAGCGAAAGGUGCUUGCACCUUUCAAGUGAGUGGCGAACGGGUGAGUAACACGUGGACAACCUGCCUCAAGGCUGGGGAUAACAUUUGGAAACAGAUGCUAAUACCGAAUAAAACUUAGUGUCGCAUGACAAAAAGUUAAAAGGCGCUUCGGCGUCACCUAGAGAUGGAUCCGCGGUGCAUUAGUUAGUUGGUGGGGUAAAGGCCUACCAAGACAAUGAUGCAUAGCCGAGUUGAGAGACUGAUCGGCCACAUUGGGACUGAGACACGGCCCAAACUCCUACGGGAGGCUGCAGUAGGGAAUCUUCCACAAUGGGCGAAAGCCUGAUGGAGCAACGCCGCGUGUGUGAUGAAGGCUUUCGGGUCGUAAAGCACUGUUGUAUGGGAAGAACAGCUAGAAUAGGAAAUGAUUUUAGUUUGACGGUACCAUACCAGAAAGGGACGGCUAAAUACGUGCCAGCAGCCGCGGUAAUACGUAUGUCCCGAGCGUUAUCCGGAUUUAUUGGGCGUAAAGCGAGCGCAGACGGUUUAUUAAGUCUGAUGUGAAAGCCCGGAGCUCAACUCCGGAAUGGCAUUGGAAACUGGUUAACUUGAGUGCAGUAGAGGUAAGUGGAACUCCAUGUGUAGCGGUGGAAUGCGUAGAUAUAUGGAAGAACACCAGUGGCGAAGGCGGCUUACUGGACUGCAACUGACGUGAG